rnacentral:tRNA from 1 species
GCGGCGGUGGCGAAACUGGUAGACGCACCAGCUUGAGGGGCUGGCGGCCGAAAGGUUGUGAGAGUUCGAGUCUCUCUCGCCGCACCA